UAGGGAAUAUUGGUUAAUCUGCGAAAGCGGGAACCAGCAACGCCGCGUGCACGAUGAAGGCCUUCGGGUUGUAAAGUGCUUUUUGAGAGGAUGAGGAAGGACAGUACUCUUAGAAUAAGCUUCGGCUAACUACGUGCCAGCAGCCGCGGUAAAACGUAGGAGGCGAGCGUUAUCCGGAUUUACUGGGCGUAAAGCGUGUGUAGGCGGUUUGAUAAGUUGGAUGUGAAAGCUCCCGGCUCAACUGGGAGAGGUCGUUCAAAACUAUCAGACUUGAGAGUGGUAGAGGGAGGUGGAAUUCCGCGUGUAGUGGUGAAAUGCGUAGAUAUGCGGAGGAACACCAGUGGCGAAAGCGGCCUCCUGGCCCAUUUCUGACGCUCAGACACGAAAGCUAAGGUAGCAAACGG
rnacentral:rRNA from 1 species